GACAGAGGGUGCAAACGUUGUUCGGAAUUACUGGGCAUAAAGAGCACGUAGGUGGUGCGCUAAGUCACGUGUGAAAUCCCCCGGCUCAACCGGGGAAUUGCGCGUGAUACUGGCGGACUCGAGGCGGGUAGGGGUGAGCGGAACUCCAGGUGGAGCGGUGAAAUGCGUAGAUAUCGUAAGGAAGACCAGUGGCGAAGGCGGGUCUCUGGACAGUUCCUGACGCUGAGGCACGAAGGCCAGGGGAGCAAACGGG
rnacentral:rRNA from 1 species